UACAGAGGGUGCAAGCGUUAAUCGGAAUUACUGGGCGUAAAGCGUGCGUAGACGGUCAUGUAAGUCGGGUGUGAAAGCCCCGGGCUCAACCUGGGAAUUGCAUUCGAGACUGCAUGGCUAGGAUGCGGAAGAGGGAAGCGGAAUUUCCGGUGUAGCGGUGAAAUGCGUAGAUAUCGGAAGGAACACCAGUGGCGAAAGCGGCUUCCUGGUCCAGCAUCGACGUUCAGGCACGAAAGCGUGGGGAGCAAAACAGG
rnacentral:rRNA from 1 species